rnacentral:lncRNA from 1 species
CACUCACACAAUGACACACUCACGCUCACUUUCACAUCGUGACACACUCACUCACACCCUGACACACUCACACUCACACCAUGGUGCACUCACACUCGCUCACACUCUCACACUAUUACACACCUACAGUCAUUCACAUGCUGACACACUUCUACCCACAUGUGCACUCACACUCACUCCCAUUCAUACACACUCACAUUCACAAGCACUCACACCCAUGUGCACACUCACACCCAUGUGCACACUCACCCCCACUCACACCCUACGACACACUCACACUCACACUCACCCCCUCACACUGUGACACACUCACUCCCUGUGACCCAUUCACACUCACCCCCAGGUGCACACUCACACUGUGACACACUCACACUCCCCCCUUGCACGCUCACCCUCCAUCCCCACAGCCCCAAACCGGGAGCGCUCCCUCGUCCCCACGAACCAUCCCAUAAUGACCCUCCCCGUUAAUUAACCGCUGCCUCGCUCUGCGCCCCCAAAUCCCCCCAGUGUGCCUCAGUUUCCCCAGAUCUGAUCCCAAAUCCCACUUCUUUGUGCCUCAGUUUCCCCAAUCCCAAUCCCAAAUCCCAUUCCUGUGCCUGUGUCCCCCAAUCUGACCCCAAAUCCCAUUUCCUGAGCCCCAAUUUGCCCCAAUCUGACCCCAAAUUCCAUCUCUGUGCCCCAAUUUCUCCCAGUCUCACCCCAAAUCCCACUCCCGUGCCUCAGUUUCCCCAAAUCUGACCCCAAAUUCCAUCUCUGUGCCUGUUUUCCCCCAGUUUCACCCCAAAUCCCAUUCCUGAGCCCCAAUUUGCCCCAAUCUGACCCCAAAUUCCAUCUCUGUGCCCCAAUUUCUCCCAGUCUCACCCCAAAUCCCAUUCACAUGCCUCAGUUUCCCCAAAUUUCACCCCCCAUCCUCACUCUGUGCCUCAGUUUCCCCAAACCCAAUCCCAAAUCCCACUCCCGUGCUUCAGUUUCCCCCAAUCUGACCCCAAAUCCCAUUCCUGUGCCUCAGUGUCCCCAAAUCUGACCCCAAAUCCCAUUCCUGAGCCCCAAUUUCCCCCAAUCUUACCCCAAAUCCCAUCUCUGUGCCCCAAUUUCUCCCAGUCUCACCCCAUAUCCCACCCCCGUGCCUCAGUUUCCCCAAAUUUCCUCCCACUGUGCCUCAUUUUCCCCCAUUCUGACCCCAAAUCCCCCCCUCUGUGCCUCAGUUUCCCCAAACCCAAUCCCAAAACCCAUUCACGUGCCUCAGUUUCCCCCAAUCUGACCCCAAAUCCCAUUCUGGAGCCCCAGUUUCCCCA